UACGUAGGGCGCAAGCGUUGUCCGGAAUUAUUGGGCGUAAAGAGCUCGUAGGCGGCCAGUUGCGUCUGCUGUGAAAUCCCGGGGCUCAACCCCGGGCGUGCAGUGGAUACGGGCUGGCUAGAGGCAGGCAGGGGAGAACGGAAUUCCCGGCGUAGCGGUGAAAUGCGCAGAUAUCAGGAGGAACACCGGUGGCGAAGGCGGGUCUCUGGGCCAUAACUGACGCUGAGGAGCGAAAGCGUGGGGAGCGAACAGG
rnacentral:rRNA from 1 species